ensembl:snoRNA Y51A2D.40 ncRNA
AAAAAUAUAAAUGUGGAAGUGGGGCGGGACUUAGUAGGCUCCGCCUCUAUCAUGACCUAGUUUCCAACCUCUCAGAAUGGGCGUGGCCUAAAGUU